UCCUGGAACCAGUCCUCGCCCACCGCCAGCGACCGCCGGAUCGCCAUCUGACUGAUGAGCCACUUCCGAGCGGGGAGUUCGGCACCUGGGACAGAAGGGAACGCCCAGGCAGGCCUCUGGGUUAGAGCAGAAAGGAGGCCGAGGGAGCCGCCUGCCUGCCUGCCUGCCUCCCCGCGUCGCGUACACCAGGCCCCCAGACCUCAGACUUGGGUCUCCGGAUGAUGUUGUUGGACUACAACUCCCAUCGUCCCCAGCCACACUGGCCCUGUCUGAGAACCCCUGGGGUACACCAUUAGCGGUGGCCAUCCAUCUCCCAGAGGAGGACCCCAAAGAGAGUGUCCUCCAGCCCCAUACAAAGCCCUGGACAUCAUGCCGUGGAGGAAGGACUUGAUUUGUGUCAGACUCAACCACUUCGUUUUCACGGUGGGUCCUGGGAUGUGUAAAAUUAUAAAGGAAAGGGAUUCUGAGCCAGCGUGGAGUGCCAUUCGGUCACCACUGAGUAACCACGGUCUGUCCCCGGCAACACUUCAGAAAAAGAGCAGGGCUGCAAGAGGCAGAUGAUGAUUCCCAGGCAGACAUUGAUGGCUAGAACCUGCUUGUUUAAAUGAAGAUUGACAUCAGCCACCAUGGGGGACAGAGACAGGAGCUUUGCAGUUGAUUGGCAAGGAAGAGUCUUGGGGAGGCUCCAGAGGCAAGCUGUCUGCUUUUGGGGAACUGAUCCUGCUUUGAAGAUGAGCACUGUUUGCCUGGCACUAGCUUGCUACCCCUGCUCAACUUGUAUAUUUUUGUCAAUAAACAGACAUGGCAGAUCACCA